GUGCGAGACCGAUAGCGAACAAGUACCGUGAGGAAAAGAUGAAAAGAACUUUGAAAAGAGAGUUAAAGAGUACCUGAAACUGCUGAAAGGGAACCGAAUCGUAUCCAGUGUCUAUAAUCCAUGGCAUAUUUCAUUGGCGAGUGAGUGCGUGCAGCGUUUUGGAAGUGGUUUUCCGCUCCUGUCGUUGUUGUGCAUUUGCUUGCUGGUGCCCUGUGCUGUGGUGGGACGUCAGAGUCAGUUUGUGUGUCGCGGGAAAUGGUUAUUGGGGAGGUAGGUCGCUUCGGUGGCUAUUAUAUCCUGGUAACUAGUCGUCGUGGCUGAGACUGAGGUGCCUACAAUGUGCUUUCGAGUGUGCGGGUUUCUCGUGUGGCUGUUUGCUUAGAUAGCUUGCUAUGCUGGUGAAUAAGUUGUGCGAUUGAGACCUGUAUUAACUUGUUGCUGUUCGGGACUUU
rnacentral:rRNA from 2 species